rnacentral:rRNA from 1 species
AGCGAACGCUGGCGGCAGGCCUAACACAUGCAAGUCGAACGAAGUCUUCGGACUUAGUGGCGGACGGGUGAGUAACACGUGGGAACGUGCCUUUAGGUUCGGAAUAACUCAGGGAAACUUGUGCUAAUACCGAAUGUGCCCUUCGGGGGAAAGAUUUAUCGCCUUUAGAACGGCCCGCGUCUGAUUAGCUAGUUGGUGAGGUAAAGGCUCACCAAGGCGACGAUCAGUAGCUGGUCUGAGAGGAUGAACAGCCACAUUGAGACUGAGACACGGCCCAAACUCCUGCGGGAGGCAGCAGUGGGGAAUCUUGCGAAAUGGGCGAAAGCCUGACGCAGACAUGCCGCGUGAAUGAUGAAGGUCUUAGGAUUGUAAAAUUCUUUCACCGGUGACGAUAAUGACGGUACUCGGAGAAGAAGCCCCGGCUAACUUCGUGCCAGCCGCCGCAGUAACAC